GAUGCAAUAUGUCUGCGCCCAGGGGAUGCUUGCCAGGAGCAGCCAUUUUCAACCCUAAUGCCGUACAGCAGGCGGAGUUCCCCUUUUCGCGCCAUAAGACAGAAACACAAAAUGAUCCUCUGACAAGUGAUGAAGAAGAACGGGAAGAUGUGAAAAUCCAAGCGAGAAGAACUUAGGGGAAACAACAUCUAAGAAGAAAUGAAUAGGGAUCAGUUCAGUUCCAAGAAGAGAUAAAGGGGAAAUACCCAAGAACUGGGAUGCUUCAUCUUUGGUUUCUUCUGGAUCCUCCCUAAAUUUUGGCUAAGAAAUCUGAGUUUCCAUUUAAGAGUGUUCCCAGAAAUGACGACAUCCACAUCCAGGAAACUCCUCCUUCCUUCACUUGAAGUCUCUUGCUUCUGGGGAGCCAGGAUCUGCGGAGUAAAAAUCAAGUUCAUUUGGUGACACAUUCCCUCCGGGCCCAGAUGCUGUCUCUGCUGCGUAAACUCUCCUGAAGUCAAGGCCAAGCAAUACAUCUAAGCAUCCCUUUGUCAGGUGUCUCCAAGUCUUUACAUCCCAGGGCAAUAAAACAACACUCUGAAU